rnacentral:rRNA from 1 species
CGUAGGGUGCGAGCGUUAAUCGGAAUUACUGGGCGUAAAGCGUGCGCAGGCGGUUGUGCAAGUCUGAUGUGAAAGCCCCGGGCUUAACCUGGGAACGGCAUUGGAGACUGCACGACUAGAGUACGUCAGAGGGGGGUAGAAUUCCACGUGUAGCAGUGAAAUGCGUAGAGAUGUGGAGGAAUACCGAUGGCGAAGGCAGCCCCCUGGGAUGAUACUGACGCUCAUGCACGAAAGCGUGGGGAGCAAACAGGAUU